UUCGGCUGGUCCAAAGCUCUGUCAAAGAGAGAAUUAGCAGGCGGAAGCAUGUUGUUCGGUGCUUGGCCCUUGGGGAUAAUUUAGUAGAAUUCUCCCUGUUGCAUGCUUUCCUCUUCCUGCCACCAAUCUUGGGGCACUCUACCCUUCAGAAUACACAAAUAUAGGAUUUCUUGUUCCAAAGCCUCAACCAAGGACAAUCUGGCUGAUUUAUUUGACUAAAUAUUAAUAGUCGUGUUAAUUAUAUACUUAUACUUAAAAAAAAACAUUGAAGUACAGAUAUUGGAUAAUUUCAUAACCGAAAUACAUUAAAAAAAAAAUUCAUCACGUUUGCGUUUGACCUGGCUAUUCUUAUAUUGUAUAUUCUUUUGAGUUUACUCCCUUUUCUAAAUACGGCAUGAGUUAAGGGACAUUUAGCUGCCGUUUCUAGCAAGCAGGGCGACCACGCGGCGCUUCUACCAUUGUGACUAGUGGGCGUCUGUUUGUGCGGUUGUGUGUUCGUGUGUGCGAUAGUUUGAAUGCACGUGUGCAUUUGCGUGUGUGUCACAACAUCCGUAACAUUGCUUAACAAGUGUCUAAACAUUCAACAAGUUUGGAGAAAAUAUCCGUUGGACCCGGGUGAAUAGUGCCGCAUCGGCUCGGCACAGCUGGAAUACGUUGUUUCCAUCGAUAAAACUAAUUGAGAUUACAGUUUAAUUAAUUUUUAAAAAACUAAGACAACUUGGAAAAAAAAAAAAAAAAAAAAAGAUCUACAACAAUGUGAAUGUGUCAACAAGUAAUUUAACGCAAGAUUUAAAUAAAGUUUAUGCUGCGCGAGUAUACAUCUCUAUAAAAGAUAGAAAAUGGUAAAACAGAAACAAUUCCUGAAGUAGAGUCGACCGUGAACCAACCCGAAGUGUCGCUUAAAAGAGAAUAUUCGUAUGUAGGGUCCUGAACAGAUACAUUAAACAAACUCCCCGAAUCGGUUUCAUAGAUGACAAAGCUACUUUGUGGUUCGGAGGCCCUCCUUCUCCUCACCUGGACGAUUGAAGAGUAGGAAGCUGCAUCAUCCCCUAAAGGUACCCAUAAAUGGGUGGGAUUAGACAUGUGUCGGAUUGGAUUCACACGUUUUCCAUAUAGUCCAAUUUUAACAAGAGAUGGUCGACUUCGCUGUCCAGUUUCGUCCGUAGCAUGAACUUUGAGUAAAGGAAGAUCCAUGGUUUGAUAUAGCGGCUUGCUGACAUAAAUAAAUCCACUGGACGGAUUUAUUGCAAAAUGA